UCUCUCUCUAAUUUCUGCUCUUCUUGGAACUAAGAAUCCUGUUGAAUAACGGAUGCAUGGAAACUAAUUUAGAAUCCAAUCCCCCAUAAUGCAUGUGCAGCCCACUGUUUCCAUGGAGCAGAACACAAAAGUUUCUCAUAGUGAUAUGGUGUUGGCACUCAAAGCAUGGGAAGAGAGGAGAUAGUUAAAUAUAAAUAAAGAUUUGAAUCCAUAAGCAAUUGGGAGGGAAAAAAUAUUCAGCUACAAUUACACAGUACUAUAACAAACACAAAAUCAUUUAUG
rnacentral:misc_RNA from 1 species